rnacentral:rRNA from 1 species
CAGAGGGUGCAAGCGUUAAUCGGACUUACUGGGCGUAAAGGGCGCGUAGGCGGAUACGUAAGUCAGAUGUGAAAGGCCAUGGCUUAACCAUGGAAUGUCAUUUGAGACUGCGAGUCUAGAGUCGAAGAGAGGGAAGCGGAAUUUCCGGUGUAGCGGUGAAAUGCGUAGAUAUCGGAAGGAACACCCGUAGCGAAGGCGGCUUCCUGGAUUCAGACUGACGCUGAGGCGCGAAAGCGUGGGUAGCGAACAGGAUU